GGUUGAGAGUGGAGUUUCUGAGGUGGAGAAACUGCCAUAAAAGAUUAACAUUUGUGGUAGUUGCUGGUCCUUCCAGAACCAGUGAAAAAUUAGUGAAGGAUAAGGGAAACUUUGUAUACAUCCUUCGAUUCCUCUCUUCUUUUUUUGGUCCCAGAAAAAUAAAUGCUUCUUUUGUUUUACACUUAAUCUCGUUUUCCCCAAGCUUUUUUAUUUGUUUCAACCUUUACUUUUCACUUCAAGCUAGCUAGCUUCUUUCUCUUUUUGUGGUCUGGAAUUGUUUUCUCGGUUCUUUCUCAUGAAAUUAAAUUUGGGAAUAGUCCCAUGUGCUUUGAAGUUCCAUGUUUUUGCUCAUGAACUUGUGAGAAAGUAAAAACACAGGUCUGUAACUCCUUAACUCUGACCAUUGAUGAAGUGGAGUAGAAAAGGAGUUAACAUCGAAAUAAAUGCGUUUUAUUCGUUGUAAAUUUUUGUUUCAUUACUUGAUUUAGGUCGUUGAUGAAUAGGUCUAGAAUAUAAAUAUAUAUAUUUAUAUAUAUAUAUUAACACUGCUUUUGGACUUUUUAUGUAUUUAUAUUGGUUUAAUCGAUUUUUCUUUUGGACAGAAUAUAUUGAUAGUUUUAGUUUUAUAUCUAGUGAUUUUUUCUGUCAAAUCAGGCGACUUGGAGUCUUAGGUGUUGUUAAAUUGAACUGUAUGUAAUUGAGAUUAUGUUAAUGAUUAUGAUAUUGUAGUUAAGAUGUUUAAAUAAAUGUCUUAUAGAAAAAAGUGAAUAUUUUGGGAGUUUUGUUUGGGAAAUUUGAGAAAUGAUUCAUUAAAUUGGGUCAUAUAACAAAAUUAUUCUAGCCACUCUACACAUGUCAUAUUUGUCCUAUUGUUUCUCUUAGUUCCCAAAAUACCAUUAGCAUUUGUUUCCUACAAUCUCUCUAUAUUCUCUCGGUCUCGAAGGAAAAAAAACUCACAAACCCAAUUUAAUUCGUAAGAACCCAAGAAAAUCGGAGAAGCAUUGUCUUCCACGACCACGACCAAGCAUCUGUGGCUCGGAUAUCGUCAGAGUUGACAAUUGGAGAAGGCAAAGGAGAAGAACGUCGAGCAAACAGAUCAAGCUUUGAGGAAACAACCCCAAAGAAAGCGAAGGUGAGGGAUUUCCUUUUUUAUCUGCAAUAUGUGUAUGUGCCUAGUUUUUUGUUGAUUUUUGUUCAUAGGAUAGAUCGGGACUGAGAAAUAACAAAACCUGGGUUUUUUUUUUCAAGCUUUUGGACCCACAUCGAUCGAAAUCGACAUACCUUGAUGCUUAGUCACUCGAUAGGCCUCGAUGGGUCUCGAUAGAAAUCGAUAAACUUAUUUAGGUGUAGAAUUUGAUUGUGCCUUGAUAGACCUCGACAGGUCUCGAUGCAGCUCGAUUAUACAUAAAUGUAGAGGUUACCUCGACAAGCCUCGAUAUAAAGUGAACAAAUUGGGAAUUUAUAGUAUUUUGAGUGUCUCGAUAGACCUCAAUAGAAAUUGAUAGGCUUAUUUAGGUGUAGAAUCUGAAUGUGCCUCGAUAGACCUCGACAAGUCUCGAUGUAGCUCGAUUGUACAUAAAUGUAGAGGUUACCUCGAUAGGCCUCGAUGGGCCUCGACAAGCCUCGAUAUAAAGUGAAUAAAUUGGGAAUUUUUAGGAUUUUGAGUGUCUCGAUAGACCUCGACAUGUCUCGAUAGGCUUAUUUAGGUGUAGAAUCUGAAUGUGCCUCGAUAGGCCUCGACAGGUCUCGAUGCAACUCGAUUGUACAUAAGUGUAGAGGUUACCUCACCUCGACAAGCCUCGAUGAGUCUCGACAGACCUCCAUGAUUGCUUUAUUUAAAUGUAACUCAAUAUGCCUCGACAGACCUCGAUGUGCCUCGAUAAAAAUAGUUUUUCUUUGAACAUGCAUUGCCUCAACAAGCCUCGAUAGGCCUCGAUAGUUACCAAAUUGCUUAAAAAUGUUAUUAACAGUUUUAUUUUUCAGAUGUCUGGCCUUGUUGUGUCGUUGGAGAAGCAUUUUCCUGCUUGUGUUACUUAUAGGGGUAGUGCUUAUUUGGAUACCCUUAUAGAGCAGUUUCAGAGGCAUGGGCUGAUUGAAUAGGCAAAGACAUGCCCAUUGAGACAGUUCUUUAAUGCGAAGGCCUUUAGUUUUUAUGGGGUUCUACUGCACCAGUUGAUGCUGCGUAAGGCUGAAAGCAAGAAGCUUGAAGAAGGUCAGUUCUACGUGGGCAACUCUCAAUGUAGAUUUGGUAUUGUGGAGUUAGGCCUAGUUACCAGCCUGAAUUUUGGAAACAGGCCGUCCCCAAAAGAGAUCAUAUUUCAAAUGAUUAGAUCAUCUAUGAAUAUUUUAAUGGUGAGACGAAUGUUAGUUUCAAUCAGUUGGAAGAUGCUCUGAAGGCCUCGACAAACCCAGAAGAUGCAUUUAAGUUGGGUUUAUGCUACUUGAUAGCGGGGGUAUUGUAUGCCCCUGAGAAGACAACCAACAUAUGGGGUGAUUCACCAAAGCUGGUUGAUGAUUUUGAUUACUUUUUCAAGUAUUCGUGGGGGAAGUUAUCCUUUAAGAAGUUGUGUAGAGGAGUUCAGAAAGACAUGAAGAAGCAAUUGAAACACUACGAGGACAAGAAGAAAGAUGGUUCAGGGAUACAACAGAAGGAGUCGAAGUACAUUUUUUAUGGCUAUGCCCCGCACUUCAGUAUUGGGCUUUUGAGGCCAUGCCAGAUAUUGGGAGGAAAUUUGGUGAAAAGAGUGGGAACCAGAUUCCCAGGAUGCUUAGUUGGUCUACCAAGAUCGAUAUCUUUCCUUCUAUAGCUCAGUUGGUUCCGUUGUUCGGCAAGUCUCGAUUGGUGGUAUUUUCCAUGUUGAAGCCACAUCUCAGUGAGGCAGACUAUUACAAUAGCCUCCCAGACAUUGAUGGUCAGUUAUUCCCUGAGUUGGGAUCAGUUGUAGUGGAGGUUGAGACUGCAGUGGAGGAAGUAGAGCCGAAGAAGGAGGCAUAGAAGUUGGUGGAGGUUACAAAGGCAACUUCUGUAUUUUACGAGGAUGUCCAAAUGGUUGAGGAGGGCACUACACAGGCCACUGCACCUUUCCUCUAGUCAUGUUGCCCAGCCUGAUUAUGAGCAGUUGAUGCAAAGGCUCCAGAGGAUUGAGGAGGGCCAGUCUAAUUAUGGGCAGUUGGUGUAAAGGCUCCAGAGAGUUGAGGAGGGUCAGGCGACUUUACUUAAGAAUCAAACUAUGAUCAUAGAUCAGUUGGCACAGUUGAUUUCAGUGGUCUCUGAUCGAUCCAGGAAACAAAGUUGACCCACCCACCCACACUCAGAUACAGAGUCAGAUGUUAUGACUCAUGACUACGAGCCCGAUGAUCCACCUUCCACUCCACAGGCCUAGAUAUUUGUUAUUGUUAGUGAUGUCAAUAGUCCUAGUGUACUAGUGUUACAGCCUGAGGAGGCAGCUGGCCUUGAAUUUAUCAGGAAGAAACGCAAGCCUAAGCGUUAUGAUGACUUCACCGACCCUACGAAGAGGCCAAGAUCAGAUAAACAGGCACUAGUUACAGACCCUUUGAGGAAGUGUGACCAGCAACAAGAGAAGAGUUUCCAUGAGUGGCUGAUCGGGAAGAUUGACAACAAGAGGGAUCGAUUUGUCCAUAUUGGGACACACGGUGUGACAUAGUUCUUGCAAUUGCACACCAUUCAGACUUGGCUUUGGGAUUCGCAUAUUGAUACCGCUCUACACAUGCUACGCCGUCGACGCCACUUUUAUCAUGCUACAUUUUGGCAGGAUGUUGCUAUCAAGAGCACCACCUUCCCCUAGGUGUGCCUAGGUCGUUGGAAUCAUUUCAAGGAGGCCGGUGAGAAGUAUACAUGUGGUGAGGACUUGCUUAAAUUGUUUAAGGGCGACCCAGAUCAAUACAUCGUAUCAUGGCAGCUGUUGAUGAAGUAUAUUUUUCCUUGCACAUCCCACAAGCACAGCAUUAAGUCGCCAUUGAAGUGUCCAUUCCAUUGUGGUGCAUUAACAUAUAUGAUUCCAACCAUAUCGUGCUUAGUCAGUCUCUGUUGGCGGAAGUCAUUAAGCCUUGGUGCCUAUUGAUGCCUUCGUUGUUGUACACGUCUAGCUUGUUUGACGACCAUGAGGAGCUCCAGUUGCAACCUGGCCAGAAACUAAAGCCAUUCCAGUACUGUCCUCUUGGCCCUGAGGAGUUCCAUCAGACUAAGACAAUUGGGGAUUGUGGUAUGUUUGCCAUCAAAUAUAUCGAGCAUUUGAUUGCCGAGCUACCACUCGAUAUUGUUACCAAUGCGAACAUGCAGCUUUUCAGAACCAAAUGGUGUGUGGACCUAUCCUUUCAAACAUUGGCACCGUGUUGAUAUUUUGUUGUAUAUGGUUCAAUGGAUGAACAUUAUUUUUUUGUACAUACUCGAAAAAAUAUCACUAAUUUUCUACCUC